rnacentral:rRNA from 1 species
ACAGGGAUUGCCCUAGUAACGGCGAGUGAAGCGGCAACAGCUCAAAUUUGAAAUCUGGCUCUUUCAGAGUCCGAGUUGUAAUUUGCAGAGGGCGCUUUGGCGUUGGCAGCGGUCCAAGUUCCUUGGAACAGGACGUCACAGAGGGUGAGAAUCCCGUACGUGGUCGCUGGCCUUCGCCGUGUAAAGCCCCUUCGACGAGUCGAGUUGUUUGGGAAUGCAGCUCUAAAUGGGAGGUAAAUUUCUUCUAAAGCUAAAUACUGGCCAGAGACCGAUAGCGCACAAGUAGAGUGAUCGAAAGAUGAAAAGCACUUUGGAAAGAGAGUCAAAUAGCACGUGAAAUUGUUGAAAGGGAAGCGCUUGCAGCCAGACUUGCCUGUAGUUGCUCAUCCGGGCUUUUGCCCGGUGCACUCUUCUGCGGGCAGGCCAGCAUCAGUUUGGGCGGUUGGAUAAAGGUCUCUGUCAUGUACCUCUCUUCGGGGAGGCCUUAUAGGGGAGACGUCAUACAACCAGCCUGGACUGAGGUCCGCGCAUUUUGCUAGGAUGCUGGCGUAAUGGCUGUAAGCGGCCCGUCUUGAAACACGGACCAAGGAGUCUAACAUCUAUGCGAGUGUUUGGGUGUCAAGCCCGAACGCGUAAUGAAAGUGAACGGAGGUGGGACCCCAUUAGGGUGCACCAUCGACCGAUCCUGAUGUCUUCGGAUGGAUUUGAGUAAGAGCAUGGCUGUUGGGACCCGAAAGAUGGUGAACUAUGCUUGAAUAGGGUGAAGCCAGAGGAAACUCUGGUGGAGGCUCGCAGCGGUUCUGACGUGCAAAUCGAUCGUCAAAUUUGGGCAUAGGGGCGAAAGACUAA